CGCACGGAUGGUUAUCCCCGCAUAUCUUUCUCAAACAUUUCUGCCCGCGAUGGAUUACUAUCGUCGACAUAUACACCAGAACCAACAGAAGCAUUCGCGCUCAAGAGUCUUUCUGAAGAACGUACCCGAAGACUGGCUCCAAAAAGAAAAAAAGCAAAAUUCAUUUGACGCGAUUUGCAGUCAUUUCCAACAGUUUGGGAGAGUCCAAGAUGUCGUCAUAUAUGAAGGCGGCAGAACCAGAAACGGCUUUAUUAAAUUCAUCGACACUCCCGAAAUUAAGAGCGCUGAAGCUGUUCGUAAGGCGAUAGAUCAUCCAAAGCAUAUUAUAAAAAGAACAGAAAUA